rnacentral:rRNA from 1 species
AGGACUUUUUGGUUUUGUAAUUGGAAUGAGUUAAGUAUAAACCCCUUUACAAGUAUCAAUUGGAGGGCAAGUCUGGGGCCAGCAGCCGCGGUAAUUCCAGCUCCAAUAGCGUAUAUUAAAGUUGUUGCAGUUAAAAAGCUCGUAGUUGGAUUUCUGUUAAUAAUUUAUAUAAAAUAUUUUGAUGAAUAUUUAUAUAAUAUUAACAUAAUUCAUAUUACUAUUUUUUUUUUUAGUAUAUGAAAUUUUACUUUGAGAAAAUUAGAGUGCUUAAAGCAGGCAUAUGCCUUGAAUACUCCAGCAUGGAAUAAAAUUAAAGAUUUUUAUCUUUUUUAUUGGUUCUAARAUAARAAYAAUGAUUAAUAGGAAAAGUUGGGGGCAUUUGUAUUUUAACAGUCAAGGUGAAAUUCUUAGAUUUGUUAAAGAAAAACUAAUGCGAAAGCAUUUGCAAAGGAUGUUUUCAUUAAUCAAGAACGAAAGUUAGGGGAUCAAAGACGAUCAGAUACCGUCGUAGUCUUACCCAUAA